rnacentral:rRNA from 1 species
GAUGAACGCUGGCGGCGUGCCUAAUACAUGCCAGUCGAGCGAACGGACGAGAAGCUUGCUUCUCUGAUGUUAGCGGCGGACGGGUGAGUAACACGUGGAUAACCUACCUAUAAGACUGGGAUAACUUCGGGAAACCGGAGCUAAUACCGGAUAAUAUUUUGAACCGCAUGGUUCAAAAGUGAAAGACGGUCUUGCUGUCACUUAUAGAUGGAUCCGCGCUGCAUUAGCUAGUUGGUAAGGUAACGGCUUACCAAGGCAACGAUGCAUAGCCGACCUGAGAGGGUGAUCGGCCACACUGGAACUGAGACACGGUCCAGACUCCUACGGGAGGCAGCAGUAGGGAAUCUUCCGCAAUGGGCGAAAGCCUGACGGAGCAACGCCGCGUGAGUGAUGAAGGUCUUCGGAUCGUAAAACUCUUUUAUUAGGGAAGAACAUAUGUGUAAGUAACUGUGCACAUCUUGACGGUACCUAAUCAGAAAGCCACGGCUAACUACGUG